rnacentral:rRNA from 1 species
UACGUAGGGGGCAAGCGUUGUCCGGAUUUAUUGGGCGUAAAGAGCGUGUAGGCGGCUGGGUAGGUCCGCUGUGAAAACUCGAGGCUUAACCUCGAGACGUCGGUGGAAACCAUCCAGCUAGAGUCCGGAAGAGGAGAGUGGAAUUCCUGGUGUAGCGGUGAAAUGCGCAGAUAUCAGGAAGAACACCAACGGCGAAGGCAGCUCGCUGGGACGGUACUGACGCUGAGACGCGAAAGCGUGGGGAGCGAACAGG